AUUGAACGCUGGCGGCAGGCCUAACACAUGCAAGUCGAGCGAGCGGCGGACGGGUGAGUAAUGUAUGGGAAACUGCCUGAUGGAGGGGGAUAACUACUGGAAACGGUAGCUAAUACCGCAUACCAUCAGAUGUGCCCAUAUGGGAUUAGCUAGUAGGUGGGGUAAUGGCUCACCUAGGCGACGAUCCCUAGCUGGUCUGAGAGGAUGACCAGUCACACUGGAACUGAGACCCGGUCCAGACUCCUACGGGAGGCAGCAGUGGGGAAUAUUGCACAAUGGGCGCAAGCCUGAUGCAGCCAUGCCGCGUGUGUGAAGAAGGCCUUCGGGUUGUAAAGCACUUUCAGCGGGGAGGCGUUACCCGCAGAAGAAGCACCGGCUAACUCCGUGCCAGCAGCCGCGGUAAUAC
rnacentral:rRNA from 1 species